UAUUAUAUGGUUAAGUGGUUUAAGCGUAGGACUAUAAUUCUGGAGACCAGGGUUCGAAGUCCUGCUUGACUA